GUAUAGUAAGGCGUUUUUAGCCCGAAAAAAACGACAUAGUAUAGUAAGGCGUUUUUAGCCCGAAAAAAACGACAUAGUAUAGUAAGGCAUUUUUAGCCCGAAAAAAACGACAUAGUAUAGCAAGGCGUUUUUAGCCCGAAAAAAACGACAUAGUAUAGUAAGGCGUUUUUAGCUCGAAAAAAACGACAUAUAUAGUAAGACGUCUUUAGCCCGAAAAAAACGACAUAGUAUAGUAAGGCGUUUUUAGCCCGAAAAAAACGACAUAGUAUAGCAAGGCGUUUUUAGCCCGAAAAAAACGACAUAGUAUAGUAAGGCGUUUUUAGCUCGAAAAAAACGACAUAGUGUAGUAAGG